UAAUUCCUACUAUUUAGAAGCGACAGUUAAGGAUCUCUUCGUCGUCCUGUUUUCACAAAUUUACGAUAAAGUCCUUUUCGUUGUCCUGCUGGGCUAUUGAUGUUGCAUCAACAUUGGGGGUACUUUGGUAUUUCUACAUUUUACACAGCCUACUUUAAAUUUUCUGAAAAUCUAAAACCUUCCGCUUACUCUUUGUCUCUAUUGGCACGCGCCUCUUCAUCGUCUCUUUGGUUACUGAUGUGGAAGCUAAACCCGCUCUUGCUUUUAGUGAUGUGUAGCUCUACAACACUUGUGCUUUGAUGAGCAUGUGUAGCAUACUUCUGGCGGUAACCAGGGGCGGACCCACGUUGUACCAAGAGGGUUCAAUUGAACCCGCUUCGUCAAAAUUCUUUUGGUGUUUAUAUGUAUAAAUUUUACAUAGAAUCGGAGAUAAAAUUAAAUGAAUCCGCUUGAAAAUCUGUAAGGCUGUAGCGUAGCGGUUUAGUGGGUUCAUUUUGUUGCGAGAGAACCGAGAUCAGUCCCUGCUGACUUUGUUUGCUGUACUUUAGCUUUUAUGAGGCUGUGAGAGUGCAGGCAUUAAUGCAUAAGACAUCUCGUGCAUAGUUCUCUAUUGACAACUGGAGUACCAAUAGUUGAGGAAAAAUUACAUAAAUGGAUAUUCGACACUAAAGACAAUGGCGCUCACUCGAUGACAGAAGCUCAUGAUAAGAAUGUCAAACACCGAACAGCAGAUAACUGCAUUACAAUAACUAUGAAAGAAGAAAUGUUGUUGGAUAUUUGCUUUUCGUAAACUCUCUUUUCUAUGCAUUGUCGCAACAGUUAUGCCUAGCUGCCAGUUUGCUGAUGCAGUUAGAACCAUACUACCUUCUGAACUGAUCCAUAUCACCUGGUGCUCUUGGAAAACCAUAUGACUUUGGGAUUAUAGCUUCUGAGAAGCUAUGAUACAAAGAAACUACGCUUCACCUGCAUAUACCACUGAGGAGCCUUAGCGCAAUGGUAGGAGUUUAUAUCAUGUGAUCGGGAAGUCACGAGUUCAAAUCAUGGGAACAAUCUCUUGAAAAAAUACAAGGUAAAGCUGCAUAGUGAGAAAGAACUACUAAGGCUUGACAGUUAUGUAAUGCAAUAUUGCAAUAUAUGGAAAAUAAACCAAAAAGGGGGUUUUAUGUAGGAAUAUGGAACCUCAUUUCUCUGCAGUGCCUAAUAUUAGAGGUACUUCCUAAUUCAAUAGUGACUAAAGUCCUCAUUUCUUAGCAUCAGCGUUGUGCAAAUCUGCAAAUCCUUUGUGCAUUUUCUGAAAUUGAACUUCAUUUUGGUCUGUUAAUCAAAAUUUAGUUUUCUUAAGGGAUAAUAUAAGUAGUAAGGCUGGGUUGAUGUUGAUUUAUAUUGUACCGAAACCCGUCAAAUGUUAAAGAGUAGCUGUUUUGACUUUAACUUCUGAUAACAUGGUGCUGCAGUUGUUUCUAAACUAAGCUAUUGUAACUUGUUUAACUUAUUUAAAGUUUUGCUGUAUGAACUAGGUAUAUAUCAUUGAUGAGUCAAGGUUGAUAAAAUCCAAAUUAGCAAAUUGAAGAGCUCGAGUUUGUUUGGUAGAAUAUGCUGGGAUGUUAGGGUCAUUGGUGUAAAUCUCAUUAUCUUGAACAAUGAACAUAUGUAAAGUUUUAAGUUGUUAGUUCUCUGAAGUUCGUAAAAUCUGUUUCAUUUUGCUUUAAUUUAAAGUUUGCAUGAAUAUCUUGCUAUAUACAUGAAUGUCUCUUGUCUGCUUGCCUGUGGUGUAUUUCAGAAACAGUUUAAGUUAAGAAGAUUUUGCCUUUCUUACAUCUAUAAUGUUAAACUGCUUUAAUUGUUCCAAUACUUCUGUUUUCUUAUACAUAAUUUUGCCUUUUUUCAUCAAUCUCCUUUGCGAAUUAAAAAUGUCAAUGGUUGAAAGAUAAAACAAGAUGUACUCAAUCUGAUUGAAGAAUCAGAGUUGGAUCUUUUUUGUGUAAACUGAUGAAGAGUUGAAGAAAAUUCGGGAGGCUCGUGGAUAUUCUUACAUGGUAUGUCAAAGUUAUUAAAAUGAACUCUCUUAUCUGUGAUAGAUGGACUUGGAUCCUGAAAAUUCCAAGUAUUUUGACAUUCACAGUGAAUUUCCUUUAGGGCUUUUGUGAGGUUUGCCCAGAAAAGAUAACUAUUAUGAGGAGAAGAUUAAAAAGUCUUACGAAGAAUAGUUGCACACAGGGGCAGAUGCAUGUGAGAUGAAACGGUGUUACGCGACACCACUUCGUUGGAAUAUUUUACGAAAUAUAUGCAGUAAUACUGUACGGGUAUAAUAAGAUAAAGAAAAUGACACCACUUGAUAUAUAUUGUUAAAAAUUAUGGUGCUGUAGAAUUGAACCUAUUCUAACUUAAUACUCAAUAAAAUCAAUGGACUAAGGCUAUUCCUUGUUGAUAAAUAUGAUAAUUAAUAUUAUUUAUUCUCCGUUCUUCUAUAAAUAUCGACACCACUUGCGAAAAAUCCUAUGUAUGCCCCUGUUUGCACACUGAUGAAGAGAUCUGUUACUGUGUUGCUGGAAGUGGUAAGUGUAGGAUCUAUUGUUUAGACUUUGCAUCACUGUCUGCCAACUAUAAUAUGGUUGCUGAAAUAUAUACUUUGUGUUGUAGUUUUUUUUUUUUUUAUGUCAGAGCUCGCAAUGAGGCUUGGAUUCUUAGAAGAGGAUAUGAAAGUCCAAAGCUCCCUACAAGGUUAAUUGUUUCAUUUGGAUAGUUACAGACGAUGCGUGUCACAACAAAUGCUUUUGAAGUCAACCUCACAAUAUUUUUCUUUGCAAUGCUACUUUUGUAUAGAUUAAAUAUGCGAUAGCAACAAGGAAUGCUAAACCGAAAAUAUGGAUUCAAUUAGCUAUGUGUUUUUACCUUGGUUGGUAUUUUUGAUAUAGUCAUGGCUA